AGAAAGCUACAAAACUCCAGGUUGUUCUUACAAUAAGAAAAUAAAUUAAAACAAUAAUUGGCGUUGUGUCCGCUUUGCAAGUAAAGAGGGAGAAAGGAAGU